UCAGACGUGAUUACCCGCUGAACUUAAGCAUAU
rnacentral:rRNA from 2 species